rnacentral:lncRNA from 10 species
CAAGACCAAUGAAAUUCCUAUCAGUUAUAGCUGUGGGGGUCUGCUUUGUCACUGCUGUAUUCAUGAAAAACGAAAAUCUUCAGCUGCUCCAUGUAUAAGGAUUUUAACUGCUGGGCCAUUCUUGUGAGUCAGUAAAGCAGGGACAGGACUUUGUGAUGCAUCAUUUCCAAGGAGCUCUAUUUUGAUACUUUGACCUAGCAUCCUUGUUUAACACCAAUGAAACGAAAAGCUACAAGUUCUUUCUUCUGUGACGCCUUAUUACUGCAUUCAGAUAUUAAAGGUACAGAAUUCAAAGCAAAUAGAGAAUAUAUAUGGUUUACAGUCACUGGGAUAUCAAUCAUUCCACAUCUAUGGUAAUGACUGAGAUCAAAUCUACAAGUGGAAGAAUUCACUUCUUAUUAUGUAAUCAUCAUUAAAAGUGAUUACAGUAAAAAAAAAAGUUGGGGAAGCAGAUUAUAACACCA